CGUUCUAUGGCCGAAUUGGUAAAUGCAUCCCCGAUCACAGGCGAGGAUGCGGGUUCGAGUCCCGCUGGAACGG
rfam:Operophtera brumata OBRT01_Sc13994, whole genome shotgun sequence.